GUUGGUAAACAAAGUCUCAACGAUUCCUACUGCACAAGCCAAUUAUGUUUACAAUGCAAACAGCCUUGCGAUCAACUUUUCCUGUCGCUAGAUGACUGCAAUAAAAAAUGUAAAUCAUCAAUCUGCAGAGAAAGCUGC